rnacentral:misc_RNA from 1 species
AAAAACUUCGGCAAGAACGUGGAGCUUGUGUGUGAGACUUGUGUGCUAACUUAGACCACAAGCCCCCUCACGAGCCCUGUUUUUACGAACCCUGUGUGAACCGUAAUAUUUAUUCCAUCCACGUAAUACGAAAUUUCUAGUCUAAAGUCUCCUUCAUAUCACGAGAAUAUGAUAAAAA